rnacentral:rRNA from 1 species
GUGGGGAAUCUUGCGCAAUGGGCGAAAGCCUGACGCAGCCAUGCCGCGUGAAUGAUGAAGGUCUUAGGAUUGUAAAAUUCUAUCACCGGGGACGAUAAUGACGGUACCCGGAGAAGAAGCUCCGGCUAACUUCGUGCCAGCAGCCGCGGUAAUACGAAGGGGGCUAGCGUUGCUCGGAAUUACUGGGCGUAAAGGGCGCGUAGGCGGACAGCUUAGUCAGAGGUGAAAGCCCAGGGCUCAACCUUGGAAUUGCCUUUGAUACUGGCUGUCUUGAGUACGGGAGAGUUGAGUGGAACUCCGAGUGUAGAGGUGAAAUUCGUAGAUAUUCGGAAGAACACCAGUGGCGAAGGCGACUCACUGGCCCGUUACUGACGCUGAGGCGCGAAAGCGUGGGGAGCAAACAGGAUUAGAUACCCUGGUAGUCC